rnacentral:lncRNA from 1 species
AUUGUAAAUUUAAAUGUUCCAUAAAUAUAUAUGUUACAGCUCGUUUUACAACAAAUACCAUUAAGAUCUGGUAUGAGUGUCAAUGAGACAACUCUCCAUUCAAGUCACAAUGUAUAAAAAAUUAUAGGUCAAAGCACGGCCUUCAACAUGGAGUCUUGGCUCACAACGAACAGCAGGCUAUGAAGGGUCACAAAAGUGACUAAUUUAAAACAAUUCAAACAGGAAAAACAACAGUAUACUCUAUAGAAAAAAAGAAAAACGAGAAACACAUUUGAACCACACUAACAAACGAAAACCACUGAAAAACACGCUUCUGGCUUAGGACAGGUAAUUAAGAAUACACCGGGUUUUAAUGUUUUAACAGGCUCCAACCUUCACCCUUUUCGUAGACAGUAGUGUAACAUUACAACAUAAAGGAC